CGGAGGAUGCGAGCGUUAUCCGGAUUUAUUGGGUUUAAAGGGUGCGUAGGCGGUCCGGAAAGUCAGCGGUAAAAGCCCGGGGCUCAACCCCGGCGAGCCGUUGAAACUGUCGGACUAGAGACGGCGAGAAGUACGCGGAAUGCGCGGUGUAGCGGUGAAAUGCAUAGAUAUCGCGCAGAACUCCGAUUGCGAAGGCAGCGUACCGGCGCCGGACUGACGCUGAGGCACGAAAGCGUGGGUAUCGA
rnacentral:rRNA from 1 species